rnacentral:rRNA from 1 species
AUACGGAGGGUGCAAGCGUUGUUCGGAAUUAUUGGGCGUAAAGCGCGUGUAGGCGGUCUUUUAAGUCUGAUGUGAAAGCCCCGGGCUCAACCUGGGAAGUGCAUUGGAAACUGAAAGACUUGAGUAUUGGAGAGGCAAGUGGAAUUCCUAGUGUAGCGGUGAAAUGCGUAGAUAUUAGGAGGAACACCGGUGGCGAAGGCGGCUCUCUGGACCGAUACUGACGCUGAGACGCGAAAGCGUGGGUAGC